rnacentral:rRNA from 1 species
CCUACGGGAGGCAGCAGUGAGGAAUCUUGGUCAAUGGACGAGAGUCUGAACCAGCCAAGUAGCGUGAAGGAUGAAUGCCCUAUGGGUUGUAAACUUCUUUUAUAUGGGAAUAAACUGUUCCAAGUGUGGGAUUUUGUAUGUACCAUAUGAAUAAGGAUCGGCUAACUCCGUGCCAGCAGCCGCGGUAAUACGGAGGAUCCGAGCGUUAUCCGGAUUUAUUGGGUUUAAAGGGAGCGUAGGUGGAUUGUUAAGUCAGUUGUGAAAGUUUGCGGCUCAACCGUAAAAUUGCAGUUGAAACUGGCAGUCUUGAGUACAGUAGAGGUGGGCGGAAUUCGGGGUGUAGUGGUGAAAUGCUUAGAUAUCACGAAGAACUCCGAUUGCGAAGGCAGUUCACUGGACUGCAACUGACACUGAGGCUCGAAAGUGUGGGGAUCAAACAGGAUUAGAUACCCCGGUAGUC